UCCAGUGGGAGAGCCAGUGGAGAGAGGGAGCCCUUGCUUUCAGGCUGGAGGAGCCUGUUCUUGGAAGACUGCACUCCAUGGAAGAGUGACCCAAGCCACAGUAGUUUGGGGAGGACUGUGUGCCCAUGGGAAGGACUCACACUGCGGCAGUUUUGGGAGAACUGCUGCUCAUGAGGUUUGCAGCCAUGCUGGAGAAGUUCACGGAGAACUGUUUCCUGUGGGAGAGGCUCCACGGUCCCACAGGGGAAGGACUCCUCUCCUUCAGCAGCAGAAGAAAACCUCAGCUGUAGCAGGGGAGGGUGAGUGAGCAGCUUUUGUGGUUGCUUGGCAUUCAGCCAGCAUCUCCAACCAUGAAACAGAAAUGGCUAAAUAUCUGGAAAGCAGUGGGACCAAAAGCUGCAUACCAAGUGCACUAAAAAUGAAUAUUGAUUUCGAUUACAGCCUACCCUGAAGUGUGGAGGUAAACAAAGUUGGAAGAUCACCUACAAAGAAAAAGCUUCAGAGGUGCUCUGCAUGCACAUGUGUCUUGGAGACUUUGAUACCUGACCUGACAAGAGCAGAAACAAGAGGAAGCUGACACAGGAAAAAAGCAGGAUGUCAACAUCAAGCAUUUCAGCCAAGUUGUAGCCUACACAGGACCCACCUGCUUUCAGCAGAAAAAAUGGUGGCGGUAGUAGGCCAUUCUACAACCUGGAUAAAGUUAUCUGUUCAAAAUUUCUCAGUAUUGUAAGCAAUAAAAUAUUUUAUAUCUUAUAGAAAUACAGAAAAGAUAUAAAAAAAAUUGUAGAAUAGAUGACUCCAAAUAUUUUUCAUCCCAGCAUACAGUCCUUCAACAACAAAUGCAAAAUAGAGUGAAAAAGCUAUAUGGGAAAAUUUUACUGUCACUGCAGCAACAAAGGACAGAAGUCGUUGCAUUUCUGUAACUCCUUCACUGGUACUUUUCCAGCCUUUUUUAGUUUUUGGAAAAUAAACCAAAACACUAAUA